GCCAGGCAUGGUGGCUCAUGCCUGUAAUCCCAGCACUUUGGGAGGCUGAGGCAGGUGGAUCACUUGAGGUCAGGAGUUCAAGACCAGCCUGGCCAACAUGGUGAAACCCUGUCUCUA
rnacentral:SRP_RNA from 1 species